rnacentral:rRNA from 1 species
CAGCAGCCCGAGUGGUGGUCGUUUUUAUUGGGCCUAAAGCGUCCGUAGCCGGUCUAGUAAAUCCUUGGAUAAAUCGUACAGCUUAACUGUACGGCUCCCGGGGAGACUGCUAGACUUGGGACUGGGAGAGGUCGGAGGUACUCCAGGGGUAGGGGUGAAAUCUUGUAAUCCUUGGGGGACCACCAGUGGCGAAGGCGUCCGACUAGAACGGGUCCGACGGUAAGGGACGAAACCCUGGGGCGCAAACCGGAUUAGAUACCCGAGUAGUCC